rnacentral:rRNA from 1 species
UACGUAGGGGGCAAGCGUUGUCCGGAUUUAUUGGGCGUAAAGAGCGUGUAGGCGGCCAGGUAGGUCUGCUGUGAAAACUCGAGGCUCAACCUCGAGAUGUCGGCGGAAACCAUCUGGCUAGAGUCCGGAAGAGGAGAAUGGAAUUCCCGGUGUAGCGGUGAAAUGCGCAGAUAUCGGGAAGAACACCGGUGGCGAAGGCGGCAUCCUGGACCAACACUGACGCUGAUGAGCGAAAGCCAGGGGAGCAAACGGG